GUAGAGAUUGUUUCCAGGACUCCCACUUAGGAAGCUUGUCUGAUGGCAGUGGGGCGUCCCAAUCUUUAAUAGUCUCUGAGAAUUGCCUAAGCAAGGAUUUGCCUUUUAUGGUAAUGGGAGCAACAAAUCCCAUUGGGUCAUAUAGGCUAUUUACUACUGACAGAACACCACGCUUGGUAUCCUUUGACAAGUCCCACCGUAGGCCCAGACUUCUCUGUUCAGGUGGCAUGUCCAUUCCGAGAUUAAGGUCUUUAAACCCUGUGGCAUG